GUCUCUUUUCAAUACUGAGAAAUUUGUUUUUUUAUCCUUUUUUACUUCUACUUACUCUUUUUUCUAUUUUUUUUAUAUUAGGUUUUUGGAUUUAAUAUUGAUAGUACGUUAACAAAUUAAAAUAAAAUGAAUUUUCCUUUAAAAAGAAUCACAAAGAAUUAUAUAUUUCUUUUCUGCGGGUAAGGAAAUCCAAAUAUUCCCAGAGAUUUAUCAUCAAUUUAACUAUAGAAUAUAUGAAUAUUUAGAUAUAAGAAUUUUCUCUUCCUUGUAAGUUGAAAAGAGGUAAAAGAAGAAUAAUAAGAAACCAUCCUUUUUUUUAUAUUAUCAUGGUGACUUUUUUAUUAAAUUCAGAAAAUCAGCUGUAAAGAAAGAGUUUUAAUUUUGUAUCUUUCUCAUAUGUUUCCUCUUUUUAUUAUAUUUUUUUAAAUCCUAUUUUUAUUUAUAUACUGUGAUUUGUCUCUUUAGUUAGCCAUAAUACACUUUAUUUCUCUCUUUCUCUUUCUCUCUUUUGUGUGUAGUCUGACUUGGACUUUCUGAUUUUUUUGCACUAAAAGAGAAAAAGAGAAAAAAGAGAGGACAGAUCGAUCGGCAAGAAAUGCGCGCCGCUAGGUCAGGUCGAGUAGGCGCUUUGGAGCACAGCCAUUGGUUCCGUGAGCCACGUUCUAUGCUACCUUCCGGCGAACUAGCAUUACAUUUAUAAAUAUAAUUAAAAAACCACCACUAUAUAUCAUCGGUUGGAGGGAUGAAUCAUUUUUUUUCUUUAUUUUUGCUUUUGUCUUUAAUUUUGAACAUAAGAAUAAUUCCCACCCUCAAUCCUCUCAUUCUUUUCUCUCUUUCUCUUUCUCUCUAUUUAUAUCUCAUUACAUUUACCUUCUUCUAUUUUCAUGAUACAUUUAAAUUGGAACGAUCGUAAUUAAAGGGAAAUUCGAGACCGACUUACUCAGUGUCUUUGCAUUUACUUUGAGAGCAAAUACGACUUGAAAGACACGAUUUUUUUUUCUUUUUAUAUUUUUGUCUUUUUCUCGAUAAAGAUAUUAAUGACGAAGAAAAAGAGAGAGAGAAAAGGAGAGAGAGAGAGAGAGAGAGAGAGAGAGAGAGAGAGAGAGAGAGAGAGAGAGAGAGAGAGAGAUGUCUAUCGAUUUCUUUUGUUUUCAUAGGUAUCUGAUGUCGAUCUCGAAUUUUCUUAUCGAGUUGUUAAAGAUUUUUUCAACAAAAUUUCGGAAAACUCAUAUUUUCUUUGAUUGUAUCUUCUUUCUAUUUUUUAAAAAUUAUAAAAAAUAUCAAAGUUCGUAUCGACGAACCACCAAACGGACUCUCUCGGUAACUGCAGAAGAAACCUAUCUUUUAUUUUCGUUUUUUUUGCUAAUCAUGUCUGGAUCGAACAGAGCAUUCCCCUUUCGACAUACUCGCGACUUUCUUUCUCUGUGUAUGUAUGUGUGUGUGUGUUUGUAUAUAUGUAUGUGUAUGUGUUUGUGUCUGCGUGUUUUGAAUAUGUAGGAAGUAUCGGCGAUAAGUUUAGUGGUUUGCACUCUCCAUGGCAUAACCGGCAAAUCGGAAAUCGAUAUCCGUGCAUAGCCAGCAUAAUAUAGCGUUAUGUCUAUAUGCCUACAUAGUUCCUUUCUCAAAGGUGUAUUUGCUCGAUAUGUAAUAUGUAUGUGUUCGUGCUCCUAUUGGCGCGCAUCGAGUGAAUUCUCCAGUAUUUUUCCAAGUUUUCGUGGAGAAAUUAUUUCUCUUCGUAUUUUGUGUAGGAUUACGUUCUAAUAUCGUAUGCAUUUUUUAGUAUUCCUUUUUAUUUUUUCAAUCUCUUCAGAGAUGCUAAUACCCAAGUAUGUGUUAAUUUUUUGUUGGAAAAUAUGUAUGUGAUUUCUUGUUGUAUGUUCCUAAUGUUAUCCACUAUAAUUUUUUUUUGUAUUUCUCUAAUUGUUAUUGAUUUAGAAUGAGUAACGUAUAAGUAUCUAAAAAGUGGGAUCAGUUUCCUUUAAUUUUAAAAAUUAUCAGCUCUAAAAAGAUUAAUGUAAAUAGUUUAUACAACUAUAAUAAGUAUAUUAAGAAUGUUUACCGAUUAUAGACAUCGUUUUUUAAUAUUUAAGAAUAAACUUCCAAUGUUCUCAUUUUACUGAUUUUUAUCAACAAGUCAUUUUAGUUUUAUUUAUUAUAGUUUUAAAGUUGCAAGGAACUUUCAAAUAAAGAUAUUGUCGAGAAAAAAUAUAGCUAUGAUAAUAGGGCAAUAUAUAUCAAUCCAUAAUUAAUAUGGAUAGAUACAAUGUAGACAAGUGUGUCAUUUAUAUGUUAUGUUAUAAAUCUUAUAUGAAAAUAUGGAAUUAUUUGUUUUGAAUAAAUCGUGUUCUUUCGCAGAGUUUAAUAAAACUACACUAAAAAAGUAUAGAAAUAAUCGCAAGUAUAGAUUUUUAUAAAACAAAUUUUUAAUUGAUAAAAACGCAAUCUUAAAAUCGAUAAUCUCGAUCAACAUUAAUGAUCAAAAACAAAAAACUGAUAAAUUAUAUUACUUUUUCUAAUUUCUUUUUGUUCGAACAAAUUUUACACGAAUUCGAACGAAAUAUUCGAAACCGGACAUUCGAAAACCGACCGUUGCGCAAAAGCAGCAGCAUCAAGGAAUCAAAGUAUAGACACUUAGACCUGGCUUUUGUUGUAUCUUAAUUGUGCGGUUUUUUUAAUUGCGAGUUUAAUAAUACCAAACGACUCUUCUUUUAUUCUUUGAUCUCUGAAUUCGCCUAUUCUCUUUGACAAGAUUUCUUUGUCUUUUUCUGCUUUUCUUUCUGUUUCUCUUCUUAUUUCUCUUUUACGUACAUUUACAUGCUCUGUGAGUAUAUUUCUUUGUCUGUUGUUUGUUUGUCUCUGAUCUUUCUCUCUCUCUUUCUCUUAUCUUUUCUUUCAUAAAUAAGAAAGAUCUUCAGCGAAGGCAAUUCGUCUUAUUAUAUCUCUUCUCAAGCGAUUUAGAAAUGAGGAAAGAAAGUUUAAUCAAGUGAAGAAUAUUUAUUCAAUCUAACUAUAAUAUAUCAAUUAAUGAUUCUAGUUUGUCAAGAGAAAAAGAGUGACACAAAUCAUUAAUUAUAGAAAUCGUAUCAAUCUUUGAUUAAUUUAUUUUUAGCUUUGGAAAUAAUUAACUCUCUCUGCGUUAGAACUAUCGACCUAUUUCUACUGUACUUAUCGAUUUUAACAAGUACUUAAAAAAGAAAAAGAAGAAAAAAGAACCAAUUUCUUUAAUUUGUUUAAUUUCUUUAAUAUAUACUAAUUUAUUUAAAUUGUACGAUAAAAAUAAAUAAACAAAAAUAACUUUUAGUAAAGAUUUUUUAUAACAAUUAUGAUUUCAUUAAUACUAAGCUCCGUAAUUAGAACAAGCUAAUUAAUUAAUUAAUGGUGAAAGUUAAUUUUGUGAUACUCAAUUGUGAACUCCAUUCGAUUGAUGUAAAGUCACAAUUGUCGUCACAGCUGCAAGGAACGUAAAGUCACCGUCAGGUGCGUUAGUAGAAGACUUGCUUUUAAAGUGGGAUGAGGUUGGGCGAAGGGUGGUUGGAGGAUAGGAAGCACAAAGGUGGCGUCGGCGUCGGUGUCGUGACGCCUGCGGAGAGAAAAGAGGGAGUCAGUCACUGCUCGACCUCAACGCGUUGUGCAUAACCUCUCGCUUGGAUUUCUAAACAAUAAUUGUGUCGAUCAGUUUAUAUACAUCAUUUUUUAUAUUCGAAAUUUUUCCUUUAAUUAUACGUUCGAAGAAAGAAGAAUGACUGGAAAUUGGAAUGUUCGUCGUACGUGUUAGUAAAUGAAAAAAAAAACGAAGUGAAAAAGAGGAAGACACUAAGAUUAACCUUCUUUCUUUCUCUAUUGCUUACUCUUUCUCUCUCCCUCUCUCUUUUUUCUUUUAAAUUGUCAAAUCAAAAACUGGGAUAACGGAAGAAAAAUAUCUGCAAGUUCGUUUCUAUUUUUCUUUUUUUUUGGAUUCAUUAUUGAGCACCACAAAGUUUCAGGAAACAUUUUUGAAAUAUUUUAUUUAUAUAUUUAUAUAAUUGAAAACGUGUUAUUCAAAGAAAGCUUAUUAUUUUUAUCCUUAAGAAGAAGGAAGGAAUGCACGAAUGAAAAGUUCAAAACAGAGAUAGUUAAAUAGAUAGAAAAUAAAAUGAAAUAAAGAAAGACAAAAAAUUGACGUGUGUAUAUAAGAGUAGAAAAAACGAGAGAAAGGUACGGGUGCGUGCUUGCGUAGGUGUCAACCUGGACAACGAUCCCAACGCGCAGCUAAAUUAGGCCAACUGAUUCCUUCGCUUCUCUCUCUCCCUCCCUUCUUCUCUCUCUCUCUCUCUCUCUCUCUCUCUCUCUCUCUCUCUCUCCCUCCCUCCCCCCUCUCUCUUUCUCUCUCUGCGCAAACAAAAGCAAGUUCGAGUCUUUUUUUAACUAUAUUCAGCGAAGUGAAAUAAACGAUCAAAAAUAAAAAAUAUAUAUAAAAAUAAGUGAAUGACGUAGUUCGAAAACGAAAGAUCGAAGAGGGAAAAGACGAAAGAAAGAAAAAACUAGAAGAAUGAUCUAUGCAACGAAGUGCCUUGACCGAGCGGCAUGCAUCGACCCGGGUAUCCGCGUGACCCGACGACCCGUUAUGCCAGCGCGUAGCUCCUGCUGAGGUCAUUCAAUACUUUGCCCGGAUACACUAUCGUCACGUAAACGACCUUACCGAACGAAUUUGUUUCGAAAUUCUUCGAGAUUUCCCCUCCUUCUAUUUACACCCGUUAAUUCGUCCUGUAUUCUUCUUCAAAUUUAUCUCAUCUGUUUUUUUUACAUGUAGAAAUAGUUUCAUUUUCUUUGUAUUUUAUUUUUUUUUUUCGCUAGGACCUUUUAAUUCUCUUUUCUUUUUAAAAGAGAAAAAUAUUCUUUUUUCUUUUUAGCGGGGAGAAUAGGUCUUGUAAGUUUCUCGUUCUUUAAUCAGUUGAACAUAUGCUCGGUAAUAUGAAACUUCGAUAUGUUAUUACAGAUAUCACAAGGAUAUUUGUUAGCUUUUUUACAACGUUUCUUUCUUUCAGAUAUGAAUAGCAUGAGAGACAUAAUAGAAUUAUAUCGAUUAUUUUGUAAUACAGAUCUUUAUAUUAAUCCAUGAAAUAUUGACAUGAACAAUAAAUUUACGGUCCUUGGAUAAUAUAUAAAAAAGAACUAUGAAACGAGAUCGUAAAGAAAAAAAAACAGAAAAACAGUGGUUGGUUAGUGUAUCUUUUCAAUGAAAAGGUUUCCUUUCAAUUCGCGUUAAAUACCAUUGUUAAAUUUCAAACAAUAUCGAAAUUGAUAAUCAAUCGUGAAAAGAAGAGGAUUAAACGUCAUAAGAGAAGAGCACAUUGUUGUUAUUGUUGUUGUUACAUCUCGAAAAAUGGAAUAAGAGGACAAGUGAAAUUCAUUGAAUCUCAGUAAUUCUCGAAGAACGAAGACGACGAAGCGAAUGCUGCGGACGAAGAGAGUUACGCGAUUAAGAAGACGAGGACGACGACGACGAAGAGGAGGCACUCGUUGUAUCACAGAGAGUCACUGACCUCUCGACCGAUCACAGUCCAGAGUGUGUGAUGUUUGAUGCUGCAGUGGUGCUUUAUGCGGAGGCGACGAAAAGAAUCGAAUUCGAACGAGCGCGUGUCAUCUUCCUUUCGACCCUGCGGCGGAUUUAAUAAUGAGCACGGCCGCGGUCGGCUGCUACUGCUGCUGUUGCUGCUGCUGCUGCUGCUGCUGCUGCUGCUGCUGCUGCUGCUGCUGCUGCUGCUGCUGCUGCUGCUGCUGCUGUUGCUGCUGCUGCUGCAUCAACCAUAUUGAUUUUGGUCUGGCCCUGGCAGAUUUUAAACGGGAAUGGCUUGUGAGUCAGGAGCGUAUCACGUUGAGCCACCUUUUGGAUAAAGAUUUACGGAUUUUCCAACAGAUCUUCUUACUUCCUUAUCCAUUUUUGUUUUUAUUUCUUUUUUCUUCUAGCAAGAAAUUUUCUUUGGAAUAAUUGGACGCAUUAAUUAAAGGCAUUACAGCAAAUUGAGGGCGAACUUGGUGAUUUAAAUGACAAAAGACCAAUUUCUUUUCUUUAUUCAACUCAAUCUCAAUUUACCAUCGUUUUGUACAUUCGAUCAAUAAGGUAGAGAACGAUAAAAAUCUUUUAUCGUCAAAAGUAAAGUGGAUUCCCGAAGAGAAUAGAAGCAUUUAAAUGAUUACGAUCGAAUAAUUGAUAAUAAUCAAAGAACGGUCGCGGUUGAAUUGCUUCACACUUUUUAUAGCGUGUCUCUUGGGUAAAAUCAGAUUUGGAAAUAAUUGAACAAACUUUUGAAAUGUGUUUUUAGUGAUAUUACUAUGUGUUGAAACGUCUGCCAGCGGAGAAUCGACCCUUUAAAAAGCAAGUUCGGCCAAAUGAUUUUCGAAUUGGUUCAGCCAGUGUACAAUAAAAAUUAAGGUGGAGGUUAUAUAUUUCUCUUUUUUUUUACGCUUUGAUUCGCUGCUGUCGGUGCUGAUACUGCUGGUACUGCUGAUACGGGCUGGUGCCAUGAGCUAACAGAAACAGGACGGAUUAACAUAAAAUUGUGAGGGUACAAAUUAAUCGAGCUUAUUGAUCGACCGUUUGGAAUUCUCACGUUUGCAACAAAUUUUAAUGAGGGAAAAAAAGAAAAGAACUAUUACGAAUAAGGAAGACAAAGAGAGAUAGAUCAAAAAGUUUUCGAUCGAUUUCUCGGAUUUAUCAGUUCGCGCUCUGUUAAUUCGACGUAGCAACCAAUAAUUUUUUUUACUUUUAUCCACUCUUUGAUGGCUCGUGCUUCCCGCUAGACUUCUAAAAGAGAGUUUUUUCAAGUCUACGAAAUCGGUUUCAUUAUAUAUAUAUGCUUAGCAUUAAAAUUUAUAUCGGGGUAGGAUCGCUUGCCAAUAUUCGCGCUUCGAUUUUGUAUAUAAAUCGUAUAAUACUAUCGAAUGAUGUAAUAAAGAGGUAUCUUAUAGUUAUUAUUAAUGUAUGUAUGUAUGUAUGUAUGUAUGUAUGUAUGUAUGUAUGUAUGUAUGUAUG